GAUGAACGCUGGCGGCGUGCCUAAUACAUGCAAGUCGAGCGAACAGAUAAGGAGCUUGCUCCUUUGACGUUAGCGGCGGACGGGUGAGUAACACGUGGGUAACCUACCUAUAAGACUGGGAUAACUUCGGGAAACCGGAGCUAAUACCGGAUAACAUUUGGAACCGCAUGGUUCUAAAGUGAAAGAUGGUUUUGCUAUCACUUAUAGAUGGACCCGCGCCGUAUUAGCUAGUUGGUAAGGUAACGGCUUACCAAGGCGACGAUACGUAGCCGACCUGAGAGGGUGAUCGGCCACACUGGAACUGAGACACGGUCCAGACUCCUACGGGAGGCAGCAGUAGGGAAUCUUCCGCAAUGGGCGAAAGCCUGACGGAGCAACGCCGCGUGAGUGAUGAAGGGUUUCGGCUCGUAAAACUCUGUUAUUAGGGAAGAACAAAUGUGUAAGUAACUGUGCACGUCUUGACGGUACCUAAUCAGAAAGCCACGGCUAACUACGUGCCAGCCGCCGCCGUAA
rnacentral:rRNA from 1 species